UACAGAGGGGGCAAGCGUUGUUCGGAAUUACUGGGCGUAAAGGGCGCGUAGGCGGUCUGCUAAGUUGGAUGUGAAAACUCUGGGCUUAACCCAGAGCCUGCAUUCAAUACUGACAGGCUAGAGUUCUGGAGGGGAUAGCGGAAUUCCUGGUGUAGCGGUGAAAUGCGUAGAUAUCAGGAGGAACACCGGUGGCGAAGGCGGCUAUCUGGACAGAAACUGACGCUGAGGCGCGAAAGCUAGGGGAGCAAACAGG
rnacentral:rRNA from 1 species